rnacentral:lncRNA from 1 species
UGAAGCACAGUAGGAAUGCAGAUGCUACACACAGAAAUUUAGAUGAGUGUCGAGUUAUGAAGUAGAAAAACUACUAAUAUCUAUGCUGAGAAAUGGACCACAAGGAGCUACAACUCUGCAAUACAGAGCAAGGCAAUCCUGGAGGAACAGACAUGGCAAAGAAGAUAACCAGAAGAAAUGAAAGCAAUUGAAUCGAUUACCAGACAGUUGUUGCUAGAAUAGAAGAGGCAAAAUACAAGAUAUUUUCAUAUAUGAAUAAAGAUGAAGAAAAGGAGUGUCUCUUAAAGAAAGAAGACAAUAAGAUAAAAGGAGUAAUGUGAACCACUUUUUUAUCUGAACUUUCAGCUGAAACAUGUAUUUCAUUAAAACUACAAUUUAUUAAAAUACUUUACAAGUUCAACAGUUUUAACCUUUUGUGAAAUAUCUCAAAGUGCAUCAAAAUUAAUAUCUUAUUGAGCUUCGGGUAUUUUUUUUUUUUCUGCUGUAACAGCUCCUUAGGAGUACUUCAUUAUGUUCAAAGUUCAGGGCAACAUCACAUGCUACUCUGCAUGUCUUAGCCUGUCUGAAAGAGGUUUUUGUCUUUACUUUUUUUCCCCUCCCAUCUGAUUUACUUCAGCCAUUUGCUUCCUUUUGCCAUAACAGAAGGUUUGUUUACUCUUGGCUGAUGCUGUGCAUUUUACCAGCAAGAAUGAACUGGUUUCUGACACAGCUCCAUUAGUACUAACAGAAAG